UAUUGAUAACCUGGAUGAGGAGAUCGAGGGCACCCUCAGUAAGUUCUCAGAUGGCACUAAGUUGGGUGGGAGAGUUGAUCUGCUGGAGGGCAGGAAGACUCAGCAGAAGGG